AAUGAACGCUGGCGGCAGGCCUAACACAUGCAAGUCGAGCGGAGCGGCGGACGGGUGAGUAAUGCCUAGGAAUCUGCCUGGUAGUGGGGGAUAAAGUCCGGAAACGGGCGCUAAUACCGCAUACUAUCAGAUGAGCCUAGGUCGGAUUAGCUAGUUGGUGGGGUAAAGGCCUACCAAGGCGACGAUCCGUAACUGGCCGGAGAGGAUGAUCAGCCACACUGGAACUGGGACACGGCCCAGACUCCUACGGGAGGCAGCAGUAGGGAAUAUUGGACAAUGGGCGAAAGCCUGAUCCAGCCAUGCCGCGUGUGUGAAGAAGGUCUUCGGAUUGUAAAGCACUUUAAGUAGGGACGAGUUACCUACAAAAUAAGCACCGGCUAACUUCGUGCCAGCAGCCGCGGUAAUAC
rnacentral:rRNA from 1 species